rnacentral:lncRNA from 1 species
UCCCUUUUGUUCAAAUUGAUUAUAAAACAGUCAUCCCGAGGUAUUGAAAUUUAAGCAGCAAAAUCUGGUAUCGAUUUCUCCACACUCAAACCACAGGUGUGAAACGCAUUUUAAACAUUUAUAAAUUUCAUAGCUUUAUUUUUUUAUAUAUCUGAUUGACCUCAUGAAUAACAUGAUAACAGAAAUGAGUCUUAUAUAUUUUGUAAUCAAUUUUUGCAGGCAUUGAAGGCUAAAUUGGCGAAAGAUAGUGAACUUCAACUCAUCUGCUUCAGCUUGUUUGAUUUAGUAAAGCGGUUAGUCAAUUCUCUGCAACAUUUAUUCAGCAAAUUGAAUUUUCUGUUUUCAUUUGCAUCUUCUAAUUUCUAAGCUAUUUUGGUAUAUG